GACCUCAAAUCAGGUAAGAAUACCCGCUGAACUUAAGCAUAUCAAUAAGCGGAGGAAAAGAAAAUAACAAUGAUUCCCUCAGUAACGGCGAGCGAAGAGGGAUAAGCUCAAAUUUUAAAUCUGUUGGGUUCCACUUAACAGAGUUGUAUUUUGAAGAAACGUUUUCUGCAUCCAGGAUUAGCCUAAAUCCUUUGGGAUAAGGUAUCAUGGAGGGUGAGAAUCCCGUUCAUGGUUAAUCUUAAGGAAGCUCUACGAUACGUUUUCCAAGAGUCGAGUUGUUUGGGAUUGCAGCUCAAAAUGGGAGGUAAAUUUCUCCUAAGGCUAAAUAUUGGCGAGAGACCGAUAGCGAACAAGUACCGUGAGGGAAAGAUGAAAAGAACUUUGAAAAGAGAGUUAAACAGUACGUGAAAUUGUUGAAAGGGAAACGAUUGAAGUCAGUCAUACCAACGGGAAAUCAACCUUUUGAGCUCGGUCUCGUGGGUUUUGAAGAGUUUCAAAGCCUUCGGAUUCGCGGGAUUGGGAUCUCUUGGUGUACUUUUUCGUACGGUUAGUCAACAUCGGUUUUGAAUGUCAUAAAAUGACUGGAGGAAUGUAGCUUCGAUCUCGUAUUGAAGUGUUAUAGCCUUUGGUAGAUGUGAUGUUUGAGACCGAGGAUUGCAACGGAUACCCUUCAGGGCUAUUCGUCUGAUCUCUGAUACGUUGCCUUGAUGUUGAAAGCUUGCUUAUGAUGUUAGGGUAUUACGGUCAAAAGGUUAGAACGGAUUAGAUUCGUUAAGGAUGUUGACGUAAUGACUUUAAACGACCCGUCUUGAAACACGGACCAAGGAGUCUAACAUAUAUGCGAGUGUUUGGGUGAUUAAACCCUUGCGCGUAAUGAAAGUAAUUUUGGUGAGAUCCGGGAAAAAAUUUUCGGAGCAUCAUCGACCGAUCAGGAUAUUU
rnacentral:rRNA from 1 species